GCUGGCGUGGCUCAAUGGUAGAGCAGCUGAUUUGUAAUCAGCAGGUUGAGGGUUCGAUUCCCCCCGCCAGCUCCA
rnacentral:tRNA from 1 species